rnacentral:rRNA from 1 species
UACAGAGGGGGCAAGCGUUAUUCGGAAUUAUUGGGCGUAAAGGGCGCGUAGGCGGCCCAGCAAGUGACGGGUGAAAUCCCUCGGCUUAACCGAGGAACUGCCUGUCAGACUGCGGGGCUUGAGACCGGGAGAGGUGAGUGGAAUUCCCAGUGUAGCGGUGAAAUGCGUAGAUAUUGGGAGGAACACCAGUGGCGAAGGCGGCUCACUGGACCGGAACUGACGCUGAGGCGCGAAAGCGUGGGGAGCAAACAGGG